rnacentral:rRNA from 1 species
CCUACGGGGCGCUGCAGUGGGGAAUAUUGGACAAUGGGCGAAAGCCUGAUCCAGCCAUGCCGCGUGUGUGAAGAAGGCCUUCGGGUUGUAAAGCACUUUCAGUGGGGAAGAAAGCCUUGGGGCUAAUACCCUCGAGGAAGGACAUCACCCACAGAAGAAGCACCGGCUAACUCCGUGCCAGCAGCCGCGGUAAUACGGAGGGUGCGAGCGUUAAUCGGAAUUACUGGGCGUAAAGCGCGCGUAGGCGGUCUGAUAAGCCGGUUGUGAAAGCCCCGGGCUCAACCUGGGAACGGCAUCCGGAACUGUCAGGCUAGAGUGCAGGAGAGGAAGGUAGAAUUACCGGUGUAGCGGUGAAAUGCGUAGAGAUCGGGAGGAAUACCAGUGGCGAAGGCGGCCUUCUGGACUGACACUGACGCUGAGGUGCGAAAGCGUGGGUAGCAAACAGGAUUAGAUACCCCAGUAUC